CACUCCUGCGGGAGGCAGCAGUGGGGAAUUUUGGACAAUGGGCGAAAGCCUGAUCCAGCCAUGCCGCGUGCAGGAUGAAGGCCUUCGGGUUGUAAACUGCUUUUGUACGGAACGAAACGGCCUUUUCUAAUAAAGAGGGCUAAUGACGGUACCGUAAGAAUAAGCACCGGCUAACUACGUGCCAGCAGCCGCGGUAAUACGUAGGGUGCAAGCGUUAAUCGGAAUUACUGGGCGUAAAGCGUGCGCAGGCGGUUAUGUAAGACAGUUGUGAAAUCCCCGGGCUCAACCUGGGAACUGCAUCUGUGACUGCAUAGCUAGAGUACGGUAGAGGGGGAUGGAAUUCCGCGUGUAGCAGUGAAAUGCGUAGAUAUGCGGAGGAACACCGAUGGCGAAGGCAAUCCCCUGGACCUGUACUGACGCUCAUGCACGAAAGCGUGGGGAGCAAACAGGAUUAGAUACCCUAGUAGUCCCA
rnacentral:rRNA from 1 species